GUGUCAGCAGCCGCGGUAAUACGGGGGGGGCGAGCGUUGUUCGGAAUUAUUGGGCGUAAAGGGCGCGUAGGCGGUGUGGUAAGUCUGUUGUGAAACCUCCAGGCUCAACUUGGAGCUUGCAUCAGAAACUGCCGUGCUCGAGCGUGGGAGAGGAAAGCGGAAUUCCUGGUGUAGCGGUGAAAUGCGUAGAUAUCAGGAGGAACACCUGCGGUGUAGACGGCUCUCUGGACCAUUGCUGACGCUGAGACACGAAAGCGUGGGUAGCAAACAGGAUUAGAUACCCGGGUAGUCC
rnacentral:rRNA from 1 species